rnacentral:rRNA from 1 species
GACGAACGCUGGCGGCGUGCUUAACACAUGCAAGUCGAACGGUGAAGGGGAGCUUGCUCCCCGGAUCAGUGGCGAACGGGUGAGUAACACGUGGGCAACCUGCCCCAGACUUCGGGAUAACGCUUCGAAAGAGGUGCUAAUACCGGAUACGAACUCCUUGGGCAUCCUUGGAGUUGGAAAGUUUUUCGGUCUGGGAUGGGCCCGCGGCCUAUCAGCUUGUUGGUGAGGUAACGGCUCACCAAGGCGACGACGGGUAGCCGGCCUGAGAGGGCGACCGGCCACACUGGGACUGAGACACGGCCCAGACUCCGACGGGAGGCAGCAGUGGGGAAUAUUGCGCAAUGGGCGAAAGCCUGACGCAGCAACGCCGCGUGAGGGAUGACGGCCUUCGGGUUGUAAACCUCUUUCAGCAGGGAAGAAGCGAAAGUGACGGUACCUGCAGAAGAAGCACCGGCUAACUACGUGCCAGCCGCCGCGGUAACAC